ACCAGGAGGCUAAUCUCAGCUUCUUCUGACCAUCCCAGCCUGUAAUCCACCACAGAUCUGAUGAACACCUCUGCUGAGAAGAUUUGCCAUCCAGAUUUUGAUCAAGUCAGAAUGCUUAUCCCAGCUGAACCCUGCAGUGCUGAUAAAACUGCUGUCUGCCACCAAAGAAGCCCACACAAACAGGCCAAGCAGGAACCAGGUUUUGGAACCCCUAAAGAUCUUGUAUCUAGCUGCAGCAGGCAACUACAAUGUCUUCUCUUAGUCCCUGAAGCUCAGCAGCUGUGUUCUCUCAAGCACCUGGAUGGCAAGAACAGGCAUGGAAGAAAUAUCCAAACUAGCACGGAGCUGAUAUCUCUCCCUCACUGUGACAUACCAGGACCCAAAGCACCCUCAGGUGUGUGCACUUAGGAUUCAUCUGCUAAGCUGGAAUUCUUGGGAAGCAAGCACACAUUCUUCAGGAUU